CUGUACACUCCGAGCUUACAGUGAUAGCGACUAUGGGGGCUGUCUCUCCACUAGAAGAUCUACAGGUGGUUUUUGUACCUUUUUGGGAACGAAUUUUAUCUCCUGGCAAUCUCAAAAACAGCCAACGGUAGCAAAAAGCUCUACAGAAGCAGAAUAUAGAGCUUUGUCAGAAGCUGCAUCAGAAAUUACUUGGAUCUGCAAAAUACUGAAGGAACUCAACAUACCUCUCUACUGUCCUCCGGAGUUGUACUGUGAUAAUCUCUCCUCCGUCUAUUUGACAGCAAAUCCGGCCUUCCAUAAACGCAGCAAACACUUUCAGACACACUGGCACUAUGUACGGGAGCAGGUCGCCUUGGGGAAUCUUCGGGUUACUCAUAUACCAAACACUCUCCAGCUCGCUGACAUCUUCACAAAGUCGCUUUCGCCGGGCCCUUUUACUUCUCUUCGAUUCAAACUCGGUGUCGCUGUCCCACCUACUCCGAGUUUGAGGGGGACUAUUAAGGAGGAAGAUCCAAAUUCGAAGAAAGGAGAAUUUGACCUAGCUGAGAAAAGCAACAACAAGAGUACUUUGCUCUCAGACAAGGAAACGACAAAAGGAGAAGUGAGUGUCUCAGCAAACAGGCCAAAGCCCAACAACAUUAAAAUGGUCUGGAAGCCCAAAACACUUUCUUCCCCAAAGUCCAGUGAGC
rnacentral:lncRNA from 1 species